rnacentral:rRNA from 1 species
UGAGUGGCGGACGGGUGAGUAACGCGUGGGCAACCUGGCCUGUAUAGGGGGAUAACACUUAGAAAUAGGUGCUAAUACCGCAUAACGGGGGAAGCCGCAUGGCUUUUCCCUGAAAACUCCGGUGGUACAGGAUGGGCCCGCGUCUGAUUAGCCAGUUGGCAGGGUAACGGCCUACCAAAGCGACGAUCAGUAGCCGGCCUGAGAGGGCGGACGGCCACACUGGGACUGAGACACGGCCCAGACUCCUACGGGAGGCAGCAG